CAUCCAGACUCCUACGGGAGGCAGCAGUGAGGAAUAUUGGUCAAUGGGCUUACGCCUGAACCAGCCAAGUCGCGUGAGGGAAGACUGCCCUAUGGGUUGUAAACCUCUUUUGUCAGGGAGCAACGCCGGCUACGUGUAGCCGGACUGAGAGUACCUGAAGAAAAAGCAUCGGCUAACUCCGUGCCAGCAGCCGCGGUAAUACGGAGGAUGCGAGCGUUAUCCGGAUUUAUUGGGUUUAAAGGGUGCGUAGGCGGGCUUUUAAGUCAGCGGUAAAAAUUCGGGGCUCAACCCCGUCCGGCCGUUGAAACUGGGGGCCUUGAGUGGGCGAGAAGAAGGCGGAAUGCGUGGUGUAGCGGUGAAAUGCAUAGAUAUCACGCAGAACUCCGAUUGCGAAGGCAGCGCACCGGCGCCCUACUGACGCUCAGGCACGAAAGCGUGGGUAUCGAACAGGAUUAGAUACCCUAGUA
rnacentral:rRNA from 1 species